UACGUAGGGUGCGAGCGUUGUCCGGAAUUAUUGGGCGUAAAGAGCUUGUAGGCGGUCUGUCGCGUCUGCUGUGAAAAUCCGGGGCUCAACCCCGGACUUGCAGUGGGUACGGGCAGACUAGAGUGUGGUAGGGGAGACUGGAAUUCCUGGUGUAGCGGUGAAAUGCGUAGAUAUCUGGAGGAAUACCGGUGGCGAAGGCGGCAUCCUGGACCGACAUUGACGCUGAGGAGCGAAAGCUAGGGGAGCAAACGGG
rnacentral:rRNA from 1 species